CCCCUAGAUGUUCUGGGCCGCACGCGCGCUACACUGAACAGUUCAACAAGUCUUAACCUUGGCCGAUAGGUCUGGGUAAUCUUUGAACGCUGUUCGUGAUUGGGAUAGACCUUUGCAAUUAUGGGUCUUCAACGAGGAAUUCCUAGUAAACGCAAGUCAUCAGCUUGCGUUGAUUACGUCCCUGCCCUUUGUACACACCGCCCGUCGCUCCUACCGAUUGAAUGGUCCGGUGAAGCGUUCGGACCGUGGCCUUUGGACGGUUCGCCGUCUGUUGGCUGCGGGAAGUUCGUUAAACCUUAUCAUUUAGAGGAAGGAGAAGUCGUANCA
rnacentral:rRNA from 1 species